GGUGGUCUGAUGUGGUGAUAUUUACAGCUACUUGAUCACAACUAGUUAACGAUUCCUUUGUCCUUCUCCACCUCCACUGCUUCACUUGACCAGCCUUAA
rnacentral:Y_RNA from 1 species